rnacentral:SRP_RNA from 1 species
GCUUGGGCCUAUAGCCCCAGCUACUUCGGAAGCUGAAGCUGGAGGACUGCUUGACUCCAAAAGUUCUGGGCUGCAGCAUGCUAUGCUAAAAGCUUGUCCAACUAAGUUCAGCAUCAAUAUGGUGAACUCUUGGGAGCGGGGAAAUCACCAGAUUAUUUAAGGAGUGAUGAACUGGCCCAGGCUGGAAACAGAGUAGGUCAAAACUCCUGUGCUUAUCUGAUCAGUAGAGGGAUUACGCCUGUGAACAGCACUGCACUCCAACCUGGGCAACAUAAUGUGACUCCAUCUUUU